rnacentral:lncRNA from 1 species
GCACAAUAGCCUGAGAGAUCAGACGUGGGAGAUUAGAUUGCUCGGCGUCAGACCUACUUCUAGGCAACCCCCCCUAGACUGGAGCUGCUCGUCGUGGACAUUAGGAUCUAGUUGGGCAUGAGCCCUUAACUUAAGGGUCGGGGGGGAAGUGGCGGGUGCGGAGAGGAGGCGUGGAGAGUGUGAGGAAGAAGAGAGGCACUCUGAGAAGAAGUCGAACAACUAACCCCUCAUUUGGCCUGGUUUGGGUGAGAAGAUUGAGUCACUUGGGGAAAAAAAUAUUGGAGAAGUCAGAGAAGGUGUAAAUCAGUGGUGCCACAAACACCAGUUUACUUCCACUUUUCACCCCCCGGGUCUGUUUUGUCUGCGUGCAGCUCUCCUCGUGUCGGAGACGCUGAGUCAGUUCUCUACUGGUCUUGCCCUCUUCCGGAAAAAGAAAACACACCUGAGAAGUGGUAGUUCCUAUCCUAACCUACUGGGGCCCUUUAUACCAGGUGCCAAACUUCAUUAUCCACCCCACCACCUUGCCCGGGAGGGAGAUCUGUGAAAGCGAAACGUGAUUUAAGCUGGGAUCUGGCAGCAACUUCGUGGACUCUGAAGGGCACGUGGGAAAGGAGUUUUGAUUGAAGGGUCUUGUUCUGUCACCUAGGCUGGAGUGGCAUGAUCAUGGCUCACUGCAACUUCUGCCUCCCUGGCUCCCAGCCUCAAGUGAUCCUCCCACUCCAGUCCCCUGAAGCAACUGGGACCACAGAGUAAUUUUAUGCUGAUUGAAGAAAAGAAGUAAACAGAGUUCCAGAAAGCAACUGCAAAUACUCAUUUUGAAAAAGAAAACAAAACAAAAACAAGGGAGACAUUUUAAAAGGUGCUAAAGCAACAGGACCAGUUGCCAGAGAGCUUAUUUUACCUCCCCAAAACAAGAUUGGUGUUUCAUCCUUGAGUUUAGUACACAGGAUUGUUCUUAUUCUUCUGCAGAUAGAGAGGUGCACUGCUUUAUGCUGCAAGUUGUCUAUAAGACAAGUUUUGUGAGUAUCAAAUAUUUGUAAGCAAAUCAAAUUUCUCCCCCAGUUGAAAUGAUUAUUUCAGAAGAAUUUCUUCUUUGUUUUGAAUUGGACUUCUGAGUUGGACUUCUCAGCAUGAUAAAGAAGAAAGAGCAUUAGAAUAAGAAAGAAGAUUAAGCUUCUUGUUUUGAUUAUGCCCAUAAUCAGCUGUGGGACCCCGGGCUAAUGCACUCCAAAAUCCCACUGUUCUGUGACCUUGCUAUGUGGGGCAUCAGCCUCCUCAUCUCUAAUAUUUUGGAUUUAAGUUAGUUGAUUUUUAUGGUCCCGCAAUGGAAUUCUUUAAACAACUCCACUAAUCCAUGAUACUGUUGCUUUAAAAAUCUUGGUUUUAGCUUUCCUCUAAGGAAUUUAUAGUGACAAUUAUCUACUUUUUUUUUCUUAAAUAAAAAUAGAGGUGGGGUUUUGCCAUGUUGCCCAGGCUGGUCUCAAACUCUUGGGCUCAAGUGAUCUGCCCACCUUGGCCUCCUAAAGUGCUGGGAUGACAGGUGUGAGCCACUGUACCCGGCCAGACCAUAUGUCUCUAGCAUUUUGAUAACAUUCUCUACAAUCUGGGCCCUGUAUAACUCCCCAGUCUUCAGACUACUACUCUCUAUGCUCACAUCUUUGGCGAUUUUAUACUCUUUGCCAAUUUAGAUGCCAUUUGUUUUUUCGUUUCCAGUAGAUUAGUAUGUCCAACCCAGAUUUUGGUAAACCCUAGACUCAUUCUACAGUCUGUGACAUCUCCAUUUGGAUUUCUUAUUGGCAUCUCAGACUCCAUAUGUCUAACCUGGAAUGCCUGAUCUCCAUUGCCUCCUAAACCGGCUUCUCUCACGGCUCUCCCAUCUCGGGGCCCAGCAUCUCAGACCUUUGCCUUGCUUACACCAGACAUUUUGUUGUUAUCUGUACCACCUCCUUCUCGUGCAGUCUACUUGAUGCCACCUAAUUGGUAUCCCUGGCUUCUGCCCUUGUUCUCUUAACGAAUCAUUUUCCAAACAGCAGCCAGAGUGAUCCUUUCAAAAAUGGAUUCAGAAAUCAUGUCACUGCUCUGCCCAAAGUUCCCAAAUGACUUCCCAGUCACUCAGAGCACAAGCUGACGCUCGACACAUCUGGGCCCCGUAAGAUUUUCAUUUCUGCUCCUCCUCCUUUUGCUCACUCUGCCCCUGCCACAUUGGUCUCCUGCUUUCCCGGAACUUGCCCAACAUGUUCCUCCCUCAGGGCCUUCACAUUUGUCAUUUCCUGUCCUAUGAUGCUCUUCCUGCAGAUAUCUACAGCAGCUCCCCGCUGCUCCUUUUGCAGGUUUUUGUUCAGAUGUCAUCUUCCUGGUGAGCUCUUCCCUGAACAACUCCUCACCCCCUCCACCUUGCCCCUGGGACUCCCUUUGACCUUUCUCGGAUUGUUUUCCCUGUAACUCUUGCCACCACCUCAUACAGGGCUUCUCAAGCUUGGCAUGAUUGGCAUUUUGGGACAGUUCUUUGUUGCGGGCUAUUAUCCUGUGCCUUGCAGGAUGUUUAGCAGCAUCACCACCCUCGACCCACUCAAUACCUGCAACUUUCCUCCCUAGGUUGUGACAGCCAGAAAUGUCUCCAGACACUGCCAAAUGUCUCCUGGGGGACAAAACCACCCCUGGUUGAGAAUCUUUGAUAUAAUGUAAAUAUGCAUUUUACCUAUGUAUUUGUUUAUUGUUCCUCCCUUCCCCACCAAUAAAAUAUAAUCUCCAUGAGAACAGGAAUUUUUGUGUCUAUUUUCCACUGAUGUAAUGCAGGCACUCUGAAUAGGGUAUGAUGCAUAGUAGGUGCUCAAACAGAUAUUUCACUGGUGAAUAAAUGAAAUGUGCUCUGACCUUGUUCCUCUGUGCUCAUUAAGCUCUAGCCACACUGACCUUUCUUCCACCUCUCAGACAUCUGAAGCUCCUUCUCACCUUUCAGUCUUUUUCUUUCAGAUCUCACUCCUGGAAAGCUCUAUUCGCAGGUCUCUGUUUACUUGUUACUCAGGUCCAAUAACACCUGCUUAGAGAGGCUUCCCUGAUCACCGUAUCCUACAUGACCCUCCCUGCCAGCCAGAGUCACUGUCUAUAUUGUUACUGUGUUUUAGUUUCUGCAUUACAUUUGUCUUGGAAAUUAUCUUGUUUACGUGGCAGGUGUACAUCUUGCUCCCUUAAAUGAAUGCUCCUUGACCACUCCACAUUAUCUGCUUUGUUUAUUAACGGCAGUAAUCUAAAACAGUAGUCUAAAACAGUGCAAGGCCCAUCGUUGAUGGGCUGAUUAAAUAAGUAUGCCUGUCUUUUAAUCAAUUCAGGGUGGAAGAGAGUCUCUAUAGAAAGGGUUUAAGGGCUGUGUCUGUCAAGGUCCAGUAGCAAAAAAAAAGAAAAAAGAAAAAAAAAGAGUCUGCUCUAGCUAAUUUGAACAGAAAGGGAUUAAUUAGAGAAUGUGGUUCACCAUCGAGAAGGCUGCAGCAACAUCCUCCACAGUGAGCUUUCAGGAACCACCUUGGAAACCACACACUGACUGGGCCACCAAGGUAGAGACUGCUCUUCUUUGAUUGGGAGAACUACAGCCAAGCUGGGACACUGAGGGGUCAGCUGCUGGGUCUGGGACCAAAUGACCACUUCUGGGAAGAUCACACCUGCAUGAAAAGGAGGUCAGCACUACUGGGAACUGACAAGAUCAAGAGACUGGGGUAAUGACUCUGUGUGGUUCUCCCCGUGUACAUGUUAAUAAAAUGUAUAUCCCUUUUCUCCAAUUAAAAAAAAAUUCCCUAGCAAGUUGACUCAGAAGAAAUAAAUGAAUACUCUCAAAAAACUGCGUCAGAAAAACCAGACACUUCCACUCUAGUGUUGGCUAACAGGAAGCGACAAAGCAGCGGAAGCUUAUUUGUCUUGUCUUCUAGCUCUCAUGCCAGUACGCAUGAUUGGUGGAACAAAACCUCGGCUACUAGGAAGUCUGGGAGAUGUGGCUUUUAGCUUUCCAGUCUCUGUAGCAUGGAGGGCACAUUGGGAACAGGUUAGAAUGGCUGUGAGGGCUGCUAAUCCACUAUACAUAGGAUGGACAGAUGAUUGAUUAUUAAAAAGUUAAUGAAUCUUCAAGUUUAUAUUUGCCAGGCAAGAAGGUCUCAGUAAAACCAAACCAAAAAGGGCCAGGCACUAUUACGAGGCUCAUGCCUGUAAUCCCAGCACUUUGGGAGGCCGAGGUGGGCAGAUCACCUGAGGUCAGGAGUUCAAGACCAGCCUGGCCAACAUGGCAAAACCCUGUAUCUACUAAAAAUACAAAAAAAAAAAAAAAAAAAAAAAAAAAGCCAGGCAUAGUGGUGGGUGCCUGUAAUCCCAGCUACUCAGGAGGCUGAGGCAGGCGAAUUGCUUGAAUCAGGGAGCAGGAGGUUG